ensembl:snoRNA U3 Small nucleolar RNA U3
AAGACUAUACUUUCAGGGAUCAUUUCUAUAGUUCGUUACUAGAGAAGUUUCUCUGAUCGUGUAGAGCACCGGAAAAAAAAAAAAAGAAUGCUAGUAGUCGUAGUGAUUAU